UUCACGGGGAGAAAGGAGCUACCAGUGCAGAGAUGUCAAGGUGCUGUAGUGCAACCAAAGCCUAAGGAAAACCGGUGUUAAUGAUUUAUCAUACAGAGGUGAGCCAGUUCGUUCAAGUGACACAACGCCCAAAAGCAAAGAAGGAAAUGACUUACUGAAGCCUGCAUCAAUCUCGGAUUAAAAUGCUUCCUAUUGAUUUCCGGCUCAGCGCUUUUUCUGAGACACCUUGUCCACUCAGGGCACAACAACCCAGGGAAGAGAAACCAAAACAAAAGGAGGCACCACCUGAGAGCUGAGAUAUGAAACCUGAACCAGGGAAGGACGUGGAAGGAGCACCUGGGGCUCAAGGUGAAGGACAGCCCCAGAUUUAAACAAGGACAAGCUGGAACAUGCAAACUACUCUUAUGUGGGGGUACUUCAUUGUUGAAAUUCUCUCAAUAAAGUUUUAUAAACUUUGUCCAAUAAA